GUGGGGAAUAUUGCACAAUGGGGGAAACCCUGAUGCAGCGACGCCGCGUGAGUGAAGAAGUAUUUCGGUAUGUAAAGCUCUAUCAGCAGGGAAGAGAUUGACGGUACCUGACUAAGAAGCCCCGGCUAACUACGUGCCAGCAGCCGCGGUAAUACGUAGGGGGCAAGCGUUAUCCGGAUUUACUGGGUGUAAAGGGAGCGUAGACGGUAAAGCAAGUCUGAAGUGAAAGCCCGCGGCUCAACUGCGGGACUGCUUUGGAAACUGUUUAACUGGAGUGCUGGAGAGGUAAGCGGAAUUCCUAGUGUAGCGGUGAAAUGCGUAGAUAUUAGGAGGAACACCAGUGGCGAAGGCGGCUUACUGGACAGUAACUGACGUUGAGGCUCGAAAGCGUGGGGAGCAAACAGGAUUAGAAACCCUAGUAGUCC
rnacentral:rRNA from 1 species